CUGCAAUGAAAAAUGGUGAGCUUGGUUUGAUGCAUCCUUGUUCAUGGUUUAACAUCUUAUUACAGAGGGUUUUGGUGGUUUGGCUUGAUGCAAGUUGGUACAGUCAUGGUGUUGCAAGGCAAGCAAGGCAUGUGUUUCAAAUAUAAAAUGGAUUAUGGUAUACAUUUGGUUCAAUUUUGGCCUGUGCAUGAUGGCAUGGUAGGGAGAAUGUUGAUGUUACUAACUUGUGAACAUGUUCAGUUAAGUCUCAAUGUUGCUGAAUUUCCAGAAUUUUAUAGCAGUGUUUA